GCUGGGCAUGGUGGCGUGUGCCUGUAAUCUCAGCUUCUCAGGAGGCUGAGGCAGGAGAAUUGUUUGAACCCAGGAGGCAGGGGUUGCAGUGAGCCGAGAUCACGCCACUGCACUCUGGCCUGGGUGACAGAGCAAGACUUCGCCUCAA
ensembl:misc_RNA Metazoa_SRP Metazoan signal recognition particle RNA